rnacentral:rRNA from 1 species
GCGCCUAUCAUGCAAGCUGAACGGUAGAGUGACUUCGGUUACUUGAGAGUAGCGUACGGGUGCGUAACGCGUAUGCAACCUGCCCCAUACUGGGGGAUAGCCCGUGGAAACGCGGAUUAAUACCCCAUGGCAAGAUAAAGUGGCAUCACUUAGUCUUUAAAGAUUUAUUGGUAUGGGAUGGGCAUGCGUCUGAUUAGCUAGUUGGUAGUGUAACGGACUACCAAGGCAACGAUCAGUAGGGGGUCUGAGAGGAUGAUCCCCCACACUGGCACUGAGACACGGGCCAGACUCCUACGGGAGGCAGCAGUAGGGAAUAUUGGUCAAUGGGUGAGAGCCUGAACCAGCCAUGCCGCGUGCAGGAUGACGGCCUUCUGGGUUGUAAACUGCUUUUCUCUGGGAAGAAAAAGGCCCUGCGGGGCAAACUGCCGGUACCAGAGGAAUAAGCACCGGCUAACUACGUGCCAGCU